rnacentral:rRNA from 1 species
GACGAACGCUGGCGGCGUGCUUAACACAUGCAAGUCGAACGGUGAAGCGCCUUCCUUUUUGGUGGGUGUGGAUGAGUGGCGAACGGGUGAGUAACACGUGAGUAACCUGCCCCCUUCUUCUGGAUAACCGCAUGAAAGUGUGGCUAAUACGGGAUAUUCUGGGUCUGUCGCAUGAUGGGUCUGGGAAAGAUAUUGUUUCGGUGGGGGAUGGGCUCGCGGCCUAUCAGCUUGUUGGUGGGGUGAUGGCCUACCAAGGCGGUGACGGGUAGCCGGCCUGAGAGGGUGGACGGUCACACUGGGACUGAGACACGGCCCAGACUCCUAAGGGAGGCAGCAGUGGGGAAUAUUGCACAAUGGGCGCAAGCCUGAUGCAGCGACGCCGCGUGAGGGAUGGAGGCCUUCGGGUUGUGAACCUCUUUCGCCAGUGAAGCAGGCCUGCCUAGUUUGUGGGUGGGUUGACGGUAGCUGGAUAAGAAGCGCCGGCUAACUACGUG